AUAAUCUUAUUAGCUAGAUCCGCCACUAGGCCAAGCGCCAUACGGGAACGGCUCCCCAUCAACUGCAUUCAAAGCUUGCACACAAGAUACACUAUCAAGUUCAAUAAUCGCUGGGUCAUGAAACCAAUUAGCUGCUAGAGACAGGCCUUCACAACAAGCAGUGAGCUCUGCUUCCUCCAGUGGAUGAGCAAUGCAGGAGUGAUCUCCAGGAGGACAGUUCCACACUUCAAAUCAAUAUCCUGUAUGACAACCGCCCCCACUCUCCUAAACAUGAACCCAACAAAAAGCUACCAUCUACAUAUUUACCAUUAGUGUUACUUCCAGGCAAACUUGGCAAGGUUACUGUCCUGUUAAUGGCUUUGCAAAAUUGCUAAAAAAAUAUUUAACUCCCAACACAUAUUUCAAAUGUAAACACGUGCCAAGUGUUCUACUUACCUGUCAGAAGUCUUGUGCAUGACCACUAUAUCAGAUCCAAGCUCACACGGCCAAACUCUUAAUUAAACUCCCUACUCCAUGGGGGUAGAAACUCAGAAUACUUGCUUUGCAGCUGGUUGGCACUCAGGUCCUUGGAAUGUCAGCAUCCAACGGUGACAUGGUGGAAAAUGUGCUUGCGGAGUUCAUAUGUUUGCUUUGGACGACUGAAACCUUAUACAGAUAGAACAUUGACUGACCACGAGUCAAUUACUGGCUGCAAUUGGCUACUUUAAUGUGGAAAAAGAUGAGAAGAUGCUCCCAAUAUAGAGAUCUUGCCCAGUCAGUCGGUCUACUAAAAGGUGGUGUUGAAAGAAUAAACCCAUGUACAAAAAGAACACAAUUUGGUUCACAUCAAGAAUCAAUAAUAGUGAUGCUG
rnacentral:lncRNA from 1 species